UUUUUCAAGCUUGCCCAGUGUGAAUAUACACUCAGCCGAGAAACAUCACAAGCAUCAUAUUCACCUGAGGCUGAGUACAUUACACCAACACAGAAAAAAAUAAUAAAUCCAUUGCUUGCUUUGUCCGAAAGUCAAAAAGUGAGUCGCCGAGUUUUAGAGCGUUUUUCUCUUGUUUUAACAAGUUUCCCAAGGCAUUUUUUAAUACCAUGGACUGGUGGGGCAAAUGCCCCAUUUGGGCCCCUUCCUCUGCCCCACCACUGAAGAAAAAAAAUGGCCUAUUGCCCCAAAGCCAGGAC